UUAUACUAGAUUUAAUGAAUAAAUUGAGACUUAUCUUUAAUUAUGUGUCAACGCACCCAUUUGUAUGAAAAUUUCAUUUAUUCCAUGGGUAGCUUGGCACACCUACAUCUACACCCUCAUAUUUUCAUUUUAGGUACCCAAGCUUGCUUGGGUCCUUGAGGGUUAGUGCAUAUGGUUCCUUUUGGAACCCAAAUCUGUUUAAUCGUAAUAACUUUACCAUUUGAUUUAUUCGUAUUAGAACCAUAGGUAAAGUUUUUAUGCCCAAUCUUUUUAUGUUUG
rnacentral:lncRNA from 1 species